GGGUUGUGAGGUUAAGCGACUAAGCGUACACGGUGGAUGCCCUGGCAGUCAGAGGCGAUGAAGGACGUGCUAAUCUGCGAUAAGCGUCGGUAAGGUGAUAUGAACCGUUAUAACCGGCGAUUUCCGAAUGGGGAAACCCAGUGUGAUUCGUCACACUAUCAUUAACUGAAUCCAUAGGUUAAUGAGGCGAACCGGGGGAACUGAAACAUCUAAGUACCCCGAGGAAAAGAAAUCAACCGAGAUUCCCCCAGUAGCGGCGAGCGAACGGGGAGCAGCCCAGAGCCUGAAUCAGUGUGUGUGUUAGUGGAAGCGUCUGGAAAGGCGCGCGAUACAGGGUGACAGCCCCGUACACAAAAAUGCACAUGCUGUGAGCUCGAUGAGUAGGGCGGGACACGUGGUAUCCUGUCUGAAUAUGGGGGGACCAUCCUCCAAGGCUAAAUACUCCUGACUGACCGAUAGUGAACCAGUACCGUGAGGGAAAGGCGAAAAGAACCCCGGCGAGGGGAGUGAAAAAGAACCUGAAACCGUGUACGUACAAGCAGUGGGAGCACAGAGCAAUCUGUGUGACUGCGUACCUUUUGUAUAAUGGGUCAGCGACUUAUAUUCUGUAGCAAGGUUAACCGAAUAGGGGAGCCGAAGGGAAACCGAGUCUUAACUGGGCGUUAAGUUGCAGGGUAUAGACCCGAAACCCGGUGAUCUAGCCAUGGGCAGGUUGAAGGUUGGGUAACACUAACUGGAGGACCGAACCGACUAAUGUUGAAAAAUUAGCGGAUGACUUGUGGCUGGGGGUGAAAGGCCAAUCAAACCGGGAGAUAGCUGGUUCUCCCCGAAAGCUAUUUAGGUAGCGCCUCGUGAAUUCAUCUCCGGGGGUAGAGCACUGUUUCGGCAAGGGGGUCAUCCCGACUUACCAACCCGAUGCAAACUGCGAAUACCGGAGAAUGUUAUCACGGGAGACACACGGCGGGUGCUAACGUCCGUCGUGAAGAGGGAAACAACCCAGACCGCCAGCUAAGGUCCCAAAGUCAUGGUUAAGUGGGAAACGAUGUGGGAAGGCCCAGACAGCCAGGAUGUUGGCUUAGAAGCAGCCAUCAUUUAAAGAAAGCGUAAUAGCUCACUGGUCGAGUCGGCCUGCGCGGAAGAUGUAACGGGGCUAAACCAUGCACCGAAGCUGCGGCAGCGACGCUUAUGCGUUGUUGGGUAGGGGAGCGUUCUGUAAGCCUGCGAAGGUGUGCUGUGAGGCAUGCUGGAGGUAUCAGAAGUGCGAAUGCUGACAUAAGUAACGAUAAAGCGGGUGAAAAGCCCGCUCGCCGGAAGACCAAGGGUUCCUGUCCAACGUUAAUCGGGGCAGGGUGAGUCGACCCCUAAGGCGAGGCCGAAAGGCGUAGUCGAUGGGAAACAGGUUAAUAUUCCUGUACUUGGUGUUACUGCGAAGGGGGGACGGAGAAGGCUAUGUUGGCCGGGCGACGGUUGUCCCGGUUUAAGCGUGUAGGCUGGUUUUCCAGGCAAAUCCGGAAAAUCAAGGCUGAGGCGUGAUGACGAGGCACUACGGUGCUGAAGCAACAAAUGCCCUGCUUCCAGGAAAAGCCUCUAAGCAUCAGGUAACAUCAAAUCGUACCCCAAACCGACACAGGUGGUCAGGUAGAGAAUACCAAGGCGCUUGAGAGAACUCGGGUGAAGGAACUAGGCAAAAUGGUGCCGUAACUUCGGGAGAAGGCACGCUGAUAUGUAGGUGAAGCGACUUGCUCGUGGAGCUGAAAUCAGUCGAAGAUACCAGCUGGCUGCAACUGUUUAUUAAAAACACAGCACUGUGCAAACACGAAAGUGGACGUAUACGGUGUGACGCCUGCCCGGUGCCGGAAGGUUAAUUGAUGGGGUUAGCGCAAGCGAAGCUCUUGAUCGAAGCCCCGGUAAACGGCGGCCGUAACUAUAACGGUCCUAAGGUAGCGAAAUUCCUUGUCGGGUAAGUUCCGACCUGCACGAAUGGCGUAAUGAUGGCCAGGCUGUCUCCACCCGAGACUCAGUGAAAUUGAACUCGCUGUGAAGAUGCAGUGUACCCGCGGCAAGACGGAAAGACCCCGUGAACCUUUACUAUAGCUUGACACUGAACAUUGAGCCUUGAUGUGUAGGAUAGGUGGGAGGCUUUGAAGUGUGGACGCCAGUCUGCAUGGAGCCGACCUUGAAAUACCACCCUUUAAUGUUUGAUGUUCUAACGUGGACCCGUAAUCCGGGUUGCGGACAGUGUCUGGUGGGUAGUUUGACUGGGGCGGUCUCCUCCUAAAGAGUAACGGAGGAGCACGAAGGUUGGCUAAUCCUGGUCGGACAUCAGGAGGUUAGUGCAAUGGCAUAAGCCAGCUUGACUGCGAGCGUGACGGCGCGAGCAGGUGCGAAAGCAGGUCAUAGUGAUCCGGUGGUUCUGAAUGGAAGGGCCAUCGCUCAACGGAUAAAAGGUACUCCGGGGAUAACAGGCUGAUACCGCCCAAGAGUUCAUAUCGACGGCGGUGUUUGGCACCUCGAUGUCGGCUCAUCACAUCCUGGGGCUGAAGUAGGUCCCAAGGGUAUGGCUGUUCGCCAUUUAAAGUGGUACGCGAGCUGGGUUUAGAACGUCGUGAGACAGUUCGGUCCCUAUCUGCCGUGGGCGCUGGAGAACUGAGGGGGGCUGCUCCUAGUACGAGAGGACCGGAGUGGACGCAUCACUGGUGUUCGGGUUGUCAUGCCAAUGGCACUGCCCGGUAGCUAAAUGCGGAAGAGAUAAGUGCUGAAAGCAUCUAAGCACGAAACUUGCCCCGAGAUGAGUUCUCCCUGACUCCUUGAGAGUCCUGAAGGAACGUUGAAGACGACGACGUUGAUAGGCCGGGUGUGUAAGCGCAGCGAUGCGUUGAGCUAACCGGUACUAAUGAACCGUGAGGCUUAACCUUACAACGCCGAAGGUGUUU
rnacentral:rRNA from 1 species